rnacentral:rRNA from 1 species
GCUAGUUGCCGAGUUCAGACUCGUAGCAUAUAGCUCAGUAACACGUGGCCAAACUACCCUACAGACCGCGAUAACCUCGGGAAACUGAGGCCAAUAGCGGAUAUAACUCUCAGACUGGAGUGUCGAGAGUUAGAAACGUUCCGGCGCUGUAGGAUGUGGCUGCGGCCGAUUAGGUAGAUGGUGGGGUAACGGCCCACCAUGCCGAUAAUCGGUACAGGUUGUGAGAGCAAGAGCCUGGAGACGGUAUCUGAGACAAGAUACCGGGCCCUACGGGGCGCAGCAGGCGCGAAACCUUUACACUGCACGACAGUGCGAUAGGGGGACUCCGAGUGUGAGGGCAUAUAGCCCUCGCUUUUCUGUACCGUAAGGUGGUACAGGAACAAGGACUGGGCAAGACCGGUGCCAGCCGCCGCGGUAAUACCGGCAGUCCGAGUGAUGGCCGAUAUUAUUGGGCCUAAAGCGUCCGUAGCUUGCUGUGUAAGUCCAUUGGGAAAUCGACCAGCUCAACUGGUCGGCGUCCGGUGGAAACUACACAGCUUGGGGCCGAGAGACUCAACGGGUACGUCCGGGGUAGGAGUGAAAUCCUGUAAUCCUGGACGGACCACCAAUGGGGAAACCACGUUGAGAGACCGGACCCGACAGUGAGGGACGAAAGCCAGGGUCUCGAACCGGAUUAGAUACCCGGGUAGUCCUGGCUGUAAACAAUGCUCGCUAGGUAUGUCACGCGCCAUGAGCACGUGAUGUGCCGUAGUGAAGACG